rnacentral:tRNA from 1 species
GUGUUUAUAGCUCAGUGGUAGAGCACAUGCUUAGCGUGCACAAGGUCUUGGGUUCAAUCCCCAGUAUCUCCA